rnacentral:tRNA from 1 species
GCGGAUGUAGUUCAAUGGUAGAACUCCAGCCUUCCAAGCUGACUACGGGGGUUCGAUUCCCCUCAUCCGCUCCA